AUUGAACGCUGGCGGCAUGCCUUACACAUGCAAGUCGAACGGCAGCACGGGAACAAUCCUGGUGGCGAGUGGCGAACGGGUGAGUAAUAUAUCGGAACGUGCCCGGUCGUGGGGGAUAACGUAGCGAAAGCUACGCUAAUACCGCAUACGAUCUACGGAUGAAAGCGGGGGAUCGCAAGACCUCGCGCGAUUGGAGCGGCCGAUAUCAGAUUAGGUAGUUGGUGAGGUAAAGGCUCACCAAGCCGACGAUCUGUAGCUGGUCUGAGAGGACGACCAGCCACACUGGGACUGAGACACGGCCCAGACUCCUACGGGAGGCAGCAGUGGGGAAUUUUGGACAAUGGGCGCGAAGCCUGAUCCAGCAAUGCCGCGUGCA
rnacentral:rRNA from 1 species